UUCCGCCCGUGGACGCCGCCGAGAAAGCAUCGUUGAAGUCUUCCCCGCCUCCACAGCCAUCAUGUCUAAAUCAGAGUCUCCCAAAGAGCCCGAACAGCUGCGGAAGCUCUUCGUCGGAGGAUUGAGCUUUGAAACAACCGAUGAGAGUCUGAGGAGCCAUUUUGAGCAAUGGGGAACGCUCACAGACUGUGUGGUAAUGAGGGAUCCAAACACCAAGCGCUCCAGAGGCUUCGGGUUUGUCACAUACGCCACGGUGGAGGAGGUGGAUGCGGCCAUGAAUGCAAGGCCGCACAAGGUGGACGGAAGAGUUGUGGAACCAAAGAGGGCCGUCUCAAGAGAAGAUUCUCAAAGACCUGGUGCCCACUUAACUGUGAAAAAGAUUUUUGUUGGUGGCAUUAAAGAAGACACUGAAGAACAUCACCUGAGAGAUUAUUUUGAACAGUAUGGGAACAUUGAAGUAAUUGAAAUCAUGACUGACUGAGGCAGUGGCAAAAAGAGAGGCUUUGCUUUUGUAACCUUUGAUGACCACGACUCCGUAGACAAGAUUGUCAUUCAGAAAUACCACACCGUGAAUGGCCACAACUGUGAAGUGAGAAAAGCCCUGUCUAAGCAAGAGAUGGCUAGUGCUUCAUCCAGCCAGAGAGGUCGAAGUGAUUCUGGAAACUUUGGUGGCGGUCGUGGAGGUGGUUUUGGUGGGAAUGACAACUUUGGUCGUGGAGGAAACUUUAGUGGUCGAGGUGGCUUUGGUGGCAGCCACGAUGGUGGUGGAUAUGGUGGCAGUGGGGAUGGAUAUAAUGGAUUUGGUAAUGACGGAAGCAAUUUUGGAGGUGACAGAAGCUACAAUGAUUUUGACAAUUACAACAAUCAGUCUUCAAAUUUUGGACCCAUGAAAGGAGGAAACUUUGGAGGAAGAAGUUCUGGCCCCUAUGGUGGUGGAGGCCAAUACUUUGCCAAACCACAAAACCAAGGUAGCUAUGGUGGCUCCAGCAGCAGCAGUAGCUAUGGCAGUGGCAGAAGGUUUUAAUUACUGCCAGGAAACAAAGCUUAGCAGGAGAGGAGAGCCAGAGAAGUGACAGGGAAGCUACAGGUUACAACAGAUUUGUGAACUCAGCCAAGCACAGUGGUGGCAGGGCCUAGCUGCUACAAAGAAGACAUGUUUUAAACAAUACUCAUGUCUAUGGGCAAAAAACUCGAGGACUGUACUUGUGACUAAUUGUAUAACAGGUUAUUUUAGUUUCUGUUCUGUGGAAAGUGUAAAGCAUUCCAACAAAGGGUUUUAAUGUAGUUUUUUUUUUUUUUUGUACCCAUGCUGUUGAUUGCUAAAUGUAAUAGUCUGAUCAUGACGCUGAAUAAGUGUCUUUUUUUUUUUUUUUAAUGUGCUGUGUAAAGUUAGUCUACUCUGAAGCCAUUUUGGUAAACUACCCCAACAGUGUGAAGUUAGAAUUCCUUCAGGGUGAUGCCAGGUUCAUUUGAAAUUUAUUUACAAACCUGCUUGGUGGAGAAGCUGUUGUCUUCAGAACCUUGGUGUAGUUGAACUGACAGUUACCGUGUUGUGACCUGGAGUUCACCAUUAAAAGGGUCACCCAUGCAAAGUCA